AUAUCAAUAAGCGGAGGAAAAGAAACCAACAGGGAUUGCCUCAGUAACGGCGAGUGAAGCGGCAACAGCUCAAAUUUGAAAUCUGGCUCCUUCGGAGUCCGAAUUGUAAUUUGUAGAAGAUGCUUCGAGUGUGGUUCCGGUCUAAGUUCCUUGGAACAGGACGUCACAGAGGGUGAGAAUCCCGUACGUGGCUGGAGGCCUACGCUCAUGUGAAGCUCUUUCGACGAGUCGAGUUGUUUGGGAAUGCAGCUCUAAAUGGGUGGUAAAUUUCAUCUAAAGCUAAAUAUUGGCCAGAGACCGAUAGCGCACAAGUAGAGUGAUCGAAAGAUGAAAAGCACUUUGGAAAGAGAGUUAAAUAGUACGUGAAAUUGUUGAAAGGGAAGCUCUUGCAACCAGACUUGCGCGUCGUCAAUCAUCUGGUGUUCUCACCGGUGCGCUUGGCGACGCUCAGGCCAGCAUCAGUUUUGGUGGUUGGAUAAAGGCCCUGGGAAUGUGGCUCUCUCCGGGGAGUGUUAUAGCCCAGGGUGCAAUGCAGCCUACCGAGACUGAGGACCGCGCUUCGGCUAGGAUGCUGGCGUAAUGGUUGUAAGCGA
rnacentral:rRNA from 1 species